GUUUCUUAGGUGGAGUCUCUAAACCAAACGUGUCUUCGACGAGUUAGAUUACUAUUGGGUUGUUGUUUUCUUGAAGUUAAGGCAUCAAUUGGAGGUUUUAGGUCAAAAUUCUUCGUUACACUUUGAUAUGGGUUAUAUUGAUUUUUGCGAAUUGGGUUUGGUAAAUCAUCUCAAUUGGUGUCUAAUUGAUGUGUUUAGGUUCUGGAAGUCUCGUGGCUGAUUUUGCAUAAAAAAACAGUCAAGGUGUGUAAUGAAAACCCUAGAAAACAACUGACGGCGAAAGCCAAAAAUUAGGUUGUCAACACCACACGGACGUGUGUUAGGCUGUGUGGUAGGUCGUAUGUUUAAGCCACACAGUUUGGGCCAAUUGAGCCAUGUGGACUACACGAGCAUGUGUGAGGCCAUGUGCCAG
rnacentral:lncRNA from 1 species